rnacentral:rRNA from 1 species
UAGUAAUCGCAGAUCAGCAACGCUGCGGUGAAUACGUUCCCGGGCCUUGUACACACCGCCCGUCACGUCAUGAAAGUCGGUAACACCCGAAGCCGGUGGCCUAACCCCUUGUGGGAGGGAGCUGUCGAAGGUGGGAUUGGCGAUUGGGACGAAGUCGUAACAAGGUAGCCGUACCGGAAGGUGCGGCUGGAUCACCUCCUUUCUAAGGAG